AUGAACGCUAGCUACAGGCUUAACACAUGCAAGUCGAGGGGCAGCAUGGUCUUAGCUUGCUAAGGCCGAUGGCGACCGGCGCACGGGUGAGUAACACGUAUCCAACCUGCCGUCUACUCUUGGACAGCCUUCUGAAAGGAAGAUUAAUACAAGAUGGCAUCAUGAGUCCGCAUGUUCACAUGAUUAAAGGUAUUCCGGUAGACGAUGGGGAUGCGUUCCAUUAGAUAGUAGGCGGGGUAACGGCCCACCUAGUCUUCGAUGGAUAGGGGUUCUGAGAGGAAGGUCCCCCACAUUGGAACUGAGACACGGUCCAAACUCCUACGGGAGGCAGCAGUGAGGAAUAUUGGUCAAUGGGCGAGAGCCUGAACCAGCCAAGUAGCGUGAAGGAUGACUGCCCUAUGGGUUGUAAACUUCUUUUAUAAAGGAAUAAAGUCGGGUAUGCAUACCCGUUUGCAUGUACUUUAUGAAUAAGGAUCGGCUAACUCCGUGCCAGCAGCCGCGGUAAUACGGAGGAUCCGAGCGUUAUCCGGAUUUAUUGGGUUUAAAGGGAGCGUAGAUGGAUGUUUAAGUCAGUUGUGAAAGUUUGCGGCUCAACCGUAAAAUUGCAGUUGAUACUGGAUAUCUUGAGUGCAGUUGAGGCAGGCGGAAUUCGUGGUGUAGCGGUGAAAUGCUUAGAUAUCACGAAGAACUCCGAUUGCGAAGGCAGCCUGCUAAGCUGCAACUGACAUUGAGGCUCGAAAGUGUGGGUAUCAAACAGGAUUAGAUACCCUGGUAGUCCACACGGUAAACGAUGAAUACUCGCUGUUUGCGAUAUACAGCAAGCGGCCAAGCGAAAGCGUUAAGUAUUCCACCUGGGGAGUACGCCGGCAACGGUGAAACUCAAAGGAAUUGACGGGGGCCCGCACAAGCGGAGGAACAUGUGGUUUAAUUCGAUGAUACGCGAGGAACCUUACCCGGGCUUAAAUUGCAGAUGAAUUACGGUGAAAGCCGUAAGCCGCAAGGCAUCUGUGAAGGUGCUGCAUGGUUGUCGUCAGCUCGUGCCGUGAGGUGUCGGCUUAAGUGCCAUAACGAGCGCAACCCUUGUUGUCAGUUACUAACAGGUUCCGCUGAGGACUCUGACAAGACUGCCAUCGUAAGAUGUGAGGAAGGUGGGGAUGACGUCAAAUCAGCACGGCCCUUACGUCCGGGGCUACACACGUGUUACAAUGGGGGGUACAGAGGGCCGCUACCACGCGAGUGGAUGCCAAUCCCAAAAACCUCUCUCAGUUCGGACUGGAGUCUGCAACCCGACUCCACGAAGCUGGAUUCGCUAGUAAUCGCGCAUCAGCCACGGCGCGGUGAAUACGUUCCCGGGCCUUGUACACACCGCCCGUCAAGCCAUGGGAGCCGGGGGUACCUGAAGUGCGUAACCGCGAGGAGCGCCCUAGGGUAAAACUGGU
rnacentral:rRNA from 1 species